rnacentral:rRNA from 1 species
AUUGCACAAUGGGGGAAACCCUGAUGCAGCGCCGCCGCGUGAGUGAAGAAGGUCUUCGGGUCGUAAAGCCCUGUCUCAAGGGAAGCAACGGACGGUACCUUAGGAGCCCGCCCCGGCUAACUACGUGCCAGCAGCCUCGGUAAUACGUAGGGGGCGAGCGGUGUCCGGAAGUAUUGGGCGUAAAGGGUGCGUAGGCGGCCUUUUAAGUCAGAUGUGAAAGGCUACGGCUUAACCGUAGUUAGCAUUUGAAACUAAAAGGCUUGAGUGCAGGAGAGGAGAGUGGAAGUCCUAGUGUAGCGGUGAAAUGCGUAGAUAUUAGGAGGAACACCAGUGGCGAAGGCGACUCUCUGGACUGCAACUGACGCUGAGGCACGAAAGCGUGGGGAGCGAACA